UUAUAAGGAAAUUUAACUUUUUAGAUUCGUUUAAUUAAUGAUGUAUAUGGUUUAUAUUGUGGACCACAUACAUCAUUAAUUAAAUGAACCUAAAAAGUUAAAUUUGCUUAUAA
rfam:Medicago truncatula strain A17 chromosome 4, whole genome shotgun sequence.